UUGGAGGGCAAGUCUGGUGCCAGCAGCCGCGGUAAUUCCAGCUCCUAUAGCGUAUAUUAAAGUUGUUGCAGUUAAAAAGCUCGUAGUUGAACCUCGGGGUCUACCCAUUGGUCAGGCUUAAUUGUCUGCACUGGUGAGAUGGAUCUCUACCUCCUGAGGAACUUUCAUGCCAUUUAUUUGGUGUGAUGGGAAGUCAGGACUGUUACUUUGAAAAAAUUAGAGUGUUUAAAGCAGGC
rnacentral:rRNA from 1 species